rnacentral:rRNA from 1 species
GACGAAGGAUCCAAGCGUUAUCCGGAUUCAUUGGGUCUAAAGGGAGCGUAGGCGGACUUAUAAGUCAGUGGUGAAAGCCGAUAGCUUAACUAUCGAAUUGCCAUUGAUACUGUAGGUCUAGAGUACAGAUGAUGUUGGCGGAAUAUGACAUGUAGCGGUGAAAUGCAUAGAUAUGUCAUAGAACACCGAUUGCGAAGGCAGCUGACAAAACUGUAACUGACGCUGAGGCUCGAAAGUGCGGGGAUCAAACAGG